UGAGAGUAGUGGACAGAAGGGAUUUCUG
rnacentral:piRNA from 1 species